rnacentral:rRNA from 1 species
UACGUAGGGGGCUAGCGUUGUCCGGAAUCAUUGGGCGUAAAGCGCGUGUAGGCGGUCCGGUAAGUCCGCUGUGAAAGUCGGGGGGCUCAACCCUCGAAUGCCGGUGGAUACUGUCGGGCUAGAGUCCGGUAGGGGAGCGUGGAAUUCCCGGUGUAGCGGUGAAAUGCGCAGAGAUCGGGAGGAACACCCGUAGCGAAGGCGGCGCUCUGGGCCGGUACUGACGCUGAGGAGCGAAAGCGUGGGGAGCAAACAGG